GCAUAUGCCAUCCCACAUAAAGGAGGAACCAUCAGUGAAUCUGAGUUAUCUAAAGGGAUAUCAAGGAGAUUAUCUUGAGGCUUUUUAGCCAUGGACACUAAAGAUUAUCAAUUGUGCAAUAAUUCCCCUGAAACUUAUAAAUCUGGAAGCAAGGUAGCAGGAUUAAGGACUGUAUAGUGUUUCAAGAAGAAGAUAUCACAAAAGAGCCACUGUAGAGUACCAAGAAGCACAAUGUCAAAGAGAUCACCAGUCUAUAUAGGAUUGAUGAGAAUUUGCUCCAAGACAGAAGAUUUGUUUUGAGGUUUGAGGAAGCGGCUGUUUAACAUCAGAUGCUGGACUCCCCCAUGCCAGAUUGCUACAAGUACCUUAGUUUGGCUGCCAUUUUGGCUCCCGAUCACUGAGAUUGAAAGAAAAAUCAAAUCAGGGAAUUAUAUAUUUCCCUUUUACUUCAAAAACUAGUCCCUUUUUUUUCCCUCUUCUAUAAUAUGUCAAUUUUCUAUAAUUAUGCGCUGCCAAUGGGUAAAAGCUCUAUUACUACAAUUGCCCUACAAGCUUGUGGGACAGAAAUCAUUUUAAUGGUGCCCUGAUUAAAGAACCUGUUAUGGGCUAAUUUA